rnacentral:lncRNA from 1 species
UUGUACACUUAGAUAGAAAAAUUUGAAAAAUAUUCUGAAUAUUACUUUCAAAAAGUAUGUCUUUAAUCACUCUAAACAUUAAUAUGAAAUGUUAAAAUGUCCCAUCUAUUUACUCAAUGAAUCCACCUUAUCAUAAACAUCAUUAGAAAAAUGGAACAUCUCUAAAAACCAUCAUUAAAAUAAUUGUCUCUAUUCCAAAUCCUUUAUUAUGAGCCCACUUUCCUUUAAUUUCUGGUAUUCUUCAUUCCAACCUCCUCCCCCUUUGUUCCAACUUUCAUCCUGAUCCCCCUUGUUUUUAACUCUCAUCCUAACCCCCCUCAUUCCUUACACCAUGGUGGAUAAAUUUAAUAAAUAGGUUGGUUAUUUUUACAUUCUUCAUAUUAAU